UGCGACGCAGCAGCUCCGCGCACACUGUCAUCCGAGGCUGUGAGGAGAUGUUGGGAUGCGGAGAGGAUGCUGGCAGCAGUAUCGCCUCGGCCUCGGUUGGUGUCUGGUUACUGAAUUAAAAGUAAUGCCAGUGUUUAAAUAACAAAAUCCUUUCUGAAGGUUUACAUUGAAUGCAGCGUUUGAGUUUCUCUGGAAUCCUGGCUCUUAUGGUUUGGUUACAGCUGAGAGGUGAUAGAAACUUGCGUCAAAAAUACAGAAUGGACUUGAACCGGAGUUGCGGGAUUUAUUCAAAGUUCGUGCCUUGACUCAGAGGAGUGCAGUCACACAGAUAUACACACUCCCCAUCUGAAAGCCUGCGUCUGAACCUGAAGGUCAGAAGAGACACCACCCCUUCCUGCUCUGAGGUCAGAGGUCGCAGGUCACAACAAGACUUCAUCUCUCAGUUACAGAAGAAAGAGGAGGAGGAGGCAGUGGAGGAGGAACAAGAGAAGCAGAGUGGGUGGAAGGAUGGAAGGAGAGAAGGAUAGAAGCAGUUCGAGGAGGUGGUUGGAAGCGGCUGAACCCAGAGCAGGUGAACACAGCUGUGGAUCGCCAUGGGCUCUCUGGCUGCCCUCUUCCUGUGGCCCCGGCACUGCAUACAAGGGUCCCGUGGAGCCAGCAGGGGCCAGCCAACACUGCGGCAGAGUGGGCAGGCUAGGCCAGGCAAGCCAGGAGAGAGGCAGGUGAGGCGGGUGAGUCGAGCUCUCAUCCCCGCCGGCUAGGAGCCUCCACGGCGGAGCGGAGCAACGUGGAGCAGCAGAAAUCAAUACAGAGGAGAGAGGCUAGCAGAGGUUGCCCAGCACCGCCUGCAGGCCCCGGAGCCCAGGGACCAACCAGCACCACCGCUCACAGCUCCUCUCUCCAUCUCUCUUUCUAUCUUCCUCCAACAGUCCCAGCAUCAGCCAGGGCCAGGGCCCUCACCGCCCCACACGCAGUGUGCGUGUCAGUAGGUGCACAUUUGUGUGUAAAAUAGAGAGAAAAAGGCAGAGGGAAGAGGCAGAGAGAGAGAGUCUUUGUGUGUGGUUCAGCCGGAGGGGUUUUUGCUGCGUCCAACACCACUUGAUAAAACUUUGUCAGAGAGACACUGAGACAGCGAGGGAGGGAGAGAAAACAGAAGAAGAAUAAGACAGGACGUUGAAGGUCGCUUUUCUUCCAGCUACCUCCCUCUUAUUACCCAUUCCACCUGAACUGUUUGAUAAGGAUCCAUUGGGGACGGUACACACGACGUUUCUGCUCAGUCCAACUUCCAAGCACGUAGCGCACAAUAUUCCUAAGAUCUCAUGAGCCAGGAUGAAAGAACAAUUUGAACUUUUUCUCUCAUCCCCUGUAUCAGACAUAACCUGUCUUUUCGCCUUAGAUUUUCUUACCCUCACUACAGCAGCUCCCAUCAGAGGAUAUGGCAAUGCAGUAUUGAUCUAUAAGGUGGAAGAGAGGAAGGUGGGCCCAGGCUUUCAUACCUCUCUGUCUCUCUGCCUCUCUCUCUCUGUCUCUCUGUGGAAAUAGCACCUGAAGUCCACUUACUGCUGAGCAGCAGGGAUCCCAUGGCAGGCAGCACAAGUGAAUGGCUGCUAAUUGAAUGAGAGAUGAAAAGGACAGUAGUUGUAACUGCUCCGUGUCCCCCGCCUACUACCAGGUUUUUCAUCUGACUUUUUUACCCUUCACGUUUACAAAAGUCCUUCUCCACACUAAGAGACUCGCCCCUCAGACGUUUUAGCAAAAUUGGUGCUGACUAAAGAAAAUUGGCAAAAUCUUCAGGAAUGAAAAUACUUGGCUGCAGCGUAGAGGUGAAAGCUUUGAGUAAAAAUUAAGUUUGUUAUGCACUGCCAGAAACAUCCGGCUGAAAAAAAGUUUGGAGAGGUCAAGCAGCAAAACAUACUGUACUGUACAUAUCCGUGGAGCUGGAAGGACAUUACAGGACAGAUGAGCAGCUUUGCCAGAAGGAAAAAAAAAAGAGGUUGGAACGGGAGUCAUACUUCUUGAUGCAGCCAGUCAGGAGUGCCAACAUGGAGGGAAAAGCAGCGACAGUGACAAAGCACACAUGCUGUCUGUAGCUCAUUUUUCUGAACAUGUUUAGCCUGGCCACAUGUGGAUAACGUGCAAGAACAGUCAGUUAGACACACAUCAAUAAAGUGUUUUCAGUUUUCUAGUCGUCAGUCUUUGUGGAUGUGGACAGGUAAGUUGGAGACACCUUUAAAAGGUAAGUUUAAAAGAUUGAAUCAAUUUAAGAGCUGUCUUAAGUGUUACAUUUUGCUGCUCUGCAAUAUUUUUCAAAAUUAGCUUCAUUAGAUAUGAAUUACUAUAUUUGAGAGCAAUUUUAGGUCGAAGAUUGGAUGAGACCCCAAGGGGUCUUUCUUUCCAAACCUAGUCAAGUAUUUGACUGGAAAAUGGUUUGACAAGAGUUUGUCACGGUUGAAUUACUUUCCUCUUUUCUGUGGGACAUGAUGUACCCAUACAUAACUACACUAUCGUAUUCAUAGAAUAAUCAACUCAUUUAUUUUAUAAUGAUUGCAGAAUCCCAAAAGUGUUGCCCUGAUAUAUAUUUUCAAUAAAGUUGAACAAUUUGAAAUUAAA